UGCUGUCCUUUAUCUUUCUUUCCCACAGGCUUCCUGUUUUUUCUUUUAUUGCAAAUGAGUCUGCUCUCUAAAGUAUGGACAACUUCCACAACGGCUAUUCCAGAAAACACUCUGACAUCAGAUGCGACAUCAUCUACAAUGUCAGAAUCUGUAAGCCUAACUCAAUCUGCGGAUCCAGUAAGCAUGUCCUCCUCCAUUUCUACUGACCAGAUGGCCACAUCAGGCUCUUCAGUGACAGGAGCUUCAUCCGCCUCUAUACAGAACACUGCUUCUAACAGUGCUACUGUCGUCUCAACAGGUGUUACUAGUAUGGAGACAGUUUCAGCAAAUACAUCUUCAUCAGAAAAUUACACUGCGCUAUCCUGUCCAGCAUUUGCUUGCACGAAUGAUUGUUAUGACCAGUUCAUGAAUACGACAGCGAAGCCCUGCCAAUCCAGUGAAUAUUUCUGUAAGAUAAUGAAAGGGGACGCAGGUUACUCUGUCAGCUGCAGUGCCUCAUGUGGCGUGUCCUGCGGGAACGGGACUCUCAGUAAUUGCUCUGUCAACUGUUGCAACACAACCAACUGCCUCAACAACACUCUGCUUGCCAUGUCCAAUUCACUCAGUACCACAGUAGCUACAACAAAACCCACUACUACAACCACAACCAUAAAGACCACAGUUCCAACCACCCCAGCAAGCAAUGGCAAGAAGUGUCAUCAUGUCACGUGUAAUGGAGCAGCGUGUUACAAAUCCAAUAAUGUCAUCAGUAAGGUCAUGUUGUGUCCAGUUGGUCAGGACUACUGCAUGCUACAAAAGACAACAUCUGGCAUCACAGAGAGCUGGCAGGCGGGUUGCAGUACAGAUUGCAGAAAGAUGACAGUUUGUUCAAGCACCACUACUGCCUGUCACUUGGAGUGCUGCAGUGCCACUACAACCCUGUCAUGCCUCAAACUGACAGGUGAUGUGAACAUACCCAGCUCCGCCACCAGGGGUCCUCACUGUCCCGCA
rnacentral:lncRNA from 1 species